GUUACAAUUCCCAUGACGUCGAAUAUGUGAGGGCAUUUUAUGAAAUAUAAUUUAUGUUUUAUAAAUAGAAAUAGAAUGAUAAAGUGACUUUUAAAAUUAUAAUAAAUUAUACAUGUGUUACGUAACAAAAAUGCCUAGAUAUUUUUAAUUUUAAGCAAGGUCUUUUUGAAAAUGGGUAUUUGAUAUCAUAUAAAGGACAGUGUCAAAUUCAUACCCUUAGGUAAUUUCUGUCAACAUGCCGCCAGGUUGGGAACCAGUUGAACUUUUCAUUGUCUUUGUUAUUUCAUUUAUUGCUAACAAUAUCAACGGGAUUAUACAAAUGCUUCAAAAAUUCUCACCCCUUGGUCAAGCCAUUGGAGGUGGUGCUAUUCCUGGAUUGCCAAUUGGAUGACAUUUAUAAUACUACAAAUACUUUCUGCAGCAGUUACAAUUAAUAUUGCAUCGACAUUGCUUAGUUAUAUUAUAUUACUUGUAAUAAAAGUAUUAAUAAUGGAAAAAAUAAAAUAGAUCUUCAAAAUGUCUAAUUAUACUAAA